GACGAACGCUGGCGGCGUGCCUAAUACAUGCAAGUUGAGCGCUGAAGGUUGGUACUUGUACCCACUGGAUGAGCAGCGAACGGGUGAGUAACGCGUGGUGAAUCUGCCUUUGAGCGGGGGACAACAUUUGGAAACGAAUGCUAAUACCGCAUAAAAACUUUAAACACAAGUUUUAAGUUUGAAAGAUGCAAUUGCAUCACUCAAAGAUGAUCCCGCGUUGUAUUAGCUAGUUGGUGAGGUAAAGGCUCACCAAGGCGAUGAUACAUAGCCGACCUGAGAGGGGGAUCGGCCACAUUGGGACUGAGACACGGCCCAAACUCCUACGGGAGGCAGCAGUAGGGAAUCUUCGGCAAUGGACGAAAGUCUGACCGAGCAACGCCGCGUGAGUGAAGAAGGUUGUCGGAUCGUAAAACUCUGUUGGUAGAGAAGAACGUUGGUGAGAGUGGAAAGCGCAUCAAGUGACGGUAACUACCCAGAAAGCGACGGCUAACUACGUG
rnacentral:rRNA from 1 species